CUGGAUCACCUCCUUUCUAAGGAUGGUUCUUCAGAAGCUUGCUUCUAUCGAACCGUUUUAGAAACAUCAGUGGCCAACGAUCGUCAGGAUUGUUGAGCUGCAUUGGCGGGAUUUCGCCGUCUUCGUUUCUCUUUCUUCGCGGACGAACACGCGCUGGGCCUGCGAGAGCAGGGUCCCUGGUCCUUGACGGGAUAUGCGUUAGGGGCUUGUAGCUCAGUUGGUUAGAGCGCGCGCUUGAUAAGCGUGAGGUCGGAAGUUCAAGCCUUCCCAGGCCCACCACACUCAUCGGGUAAGCAUUCGUCUUCUGGUUACGGGGCCAUAGCUCAGCUGGGAGAGCGCGUGCUUUGCAAGCAUGAGGUCGUCGGUUCGAUCCCGUCUGGCUCCACCAGAUGGUUUGAUCACCGAGGCUGUGUUUGCAGGUAUUCAACCGUCGUCCGCGAAACAUCACUUCGCACCUGCUAGUCUGGAUAGACAGUGAGGUUGCGUGAUUUCUGACAUCGUAAAGAGGAGAUCGAUCCGAGUUGGAUCGGGCAGCAAGCAAUUGCUGCGCGAACCUUCAUUAUCUCCGGAUCAUUUCGGCGCUCGCGCGCCUUUCAAUGCGGCUCACAAGGCUGCGUCUGAAGGGAAUGCGGGUUGUAAAUGAUCCUUUUAGCGAAGCUUGACCGCCUCGCUAUCGGAACGAUCUUACGAAGCAAGCUGGUCUUUCUAAUCAUUGUCCGGCUGUACGUAGCGUUCAUCGAGGGCGCGUGCCGUAAGGCAAUCGUACAGACACAUUCUGCCGAGUGUGUGGACAUUGAUAAUGAGAGCAAUCAAGUGCCUUAAGGGUGUUCGGUGGAUGCCUUGGCGCUGAG
rnacentral:tRNA from 1 species